GACGAACGCUGGCGGCGUGCCUAAUACAUGCAAGUCGAGCGGACUUUCAAGAAGCUUGCUUUUUGAAAGUUAGCGGCGGACGGGUGAGUAACACGUGGGCAACCUGCCUGCAAGACGGGGAUAACUCCGGGAAACCGGGGCUAAUCCCGGAUAAUAUCUUCCUUCGCAUGAAGGAUGGUUGAAAUGCGGCGCAAGCUGCCGCUUGCAGAUGGGCCCGCGGCGCAUUAGCUAGUUGGUGAGGUAACGGCUCACCAAGGCGACGAUGCGUAGCCGACCUGAGGGGGAGGUCGGCCCCACUGGGACUGAGACCCGGCCCAGACCGCUACGGGAGGCAGCAGGAGGGAAACUUCCGGAAGGGACGAAGGUCUGACGGAGCAACGCCGCGGGAGCGAAGAAGGUCUUCGGGUCGUAAAGCUCUGUUGUCAGGGAAGAACAAGUACCGUUCGAACAGGGCGGUACCUUGACGGUACCUGACCAGAAAGCCACGGCUAACUACGUG
rnacentral:rRNA from 1 species